rnacentral:rRNA from 1 species
CAGCAGCCGCGGGAAUACAGAGGGUGCAAGCGUUAAUCGGAAUUACUGGGCGUAAAGCGCGCGUAGGUGGUUCGCCAAGUUGGAUGUGAAAUCCCCGGGCUCAACCUGGGAACUGCAUCCAAAACUGGCGAGCUAGAGUAUGGUAGAGGGUGGUGGAAUUUCCUGUGUAGCGGUGAAAUGCGUAGAUAUAGGAAGGAACAUCAGUGGCGAAGGCGACCACCUGGACUGAUACUGACACUGAGGUGCGAAAGCGUGGGGAGCAAACAGGAUUAGAUACCCCUGUAGUCCCUGUCUCUUAUAA